rnacentral:rRNA from 1 species
UACAGAGGUCCCAAGCGUUGUUCGGAUUCAUUGGGCGUAAAGGGUGCGUAGGUGGCGCCAUAAGUCAGGUGUGAAAUUUCGGAGCUUAACUCCGAAACUGCAUUUGAUACUGUGGUGCUUGAGGACUGGAGAGGAGACUGGAAUUUACGGUGUAGCAGUGAAAUGCGUAGAGAUCGUAAGGAAGACCAGUGGCGAAGGCGGGUCUCUGGACAGUUCCUGACGCUGAGGCACGAAGGUCAGGGGAGCAAACGGG